rnacentral:rRNA from 1 species
GGCGCACGGGUGAGUAACACGUAUCCAACCUUCCGUUUACUCAGGGAUAGCCUUUCGAAAGAAAGAUUAAUACCUGAUAGUAUGGUGAGAUUGCAUGAUAGCACCAUUAAAGAUUUAUUGGUAAACGAUGGGGAUGCGUUCCAUUAGGUAGUAGGCGGGGUAACGGCCCACCUAGCCAACGAUGGAUAGGGGUUCUGAGAGGAAGGUCCCCCACAUUGGAACUGAGACACGGUCCAAACUCCUACGGGAGGCAGCAGUGAGGAAUAUUGGUCAAUGGACGAGAGUCUGAACCAGCCAAGUAGCGUGAAGGAUGAAGGUCCUACGGAUUGUAAACUCCUUUUAUAAGGGAAUAAACCCUCCCACGUGUGGGAGCUUGUAUGUACCUUAUGAAUAAGCAUCGGCUAACUCCGUGCCAGCAGCCGCGGUAAUACGGAGGAUGCGAGCGUUAUCCGGAUUUAUUGGGUUUAAAGGGAGCGCAGACGGGUCGUUAAGUCAGCUGUGAAAGUUUGGGGCUCAACCUUAAAAUUGCAGUUGAUACUGGCGUCCUUGAGUGCGGUUGAGGUGUGCGGAAUUCGUGGUGUAGCGGUGAAAUGCUUAGAUAUCACGAAGAACUCCGAUUGCGAAGGCAGCACACUAAU